AUCGGAACAGAAAAUAUUGAUACUCGUAAAAAGAAGCAUUGGAGGAAAGAAACCCCAUCCAGACUAAUAAGCAUAGAGCAUUCUUUGUCUGGAAGUUUCAAACAAUUUUACAAAGAUUCCCAGAAAAAAGCACUAGAAUCUAGAAUGGCCACAAACUCCAAAUUUUAUAGAAGCUUGAGAGAGUUUUUAAAACAAGAGAACAACCAAUUUUCUACUACUAAUUUUUAUACCAUAUCUGGUACGUCCUUUGAAGCAUAAUACAAUCUGAUGGAAGGCAUAAGAUGAC
rnacentral:lncRNA from 1 species